rnacentral:rRNA from 1 species
GACGAACGCUGGCGGCGUGCUUAACACAUGCAAGUCGAACGGAAAGGCCCUGCUUUUGUGGGGUGCUCGAGUGGCGAACGGGUGAGUAACACGUGAGUAACCUGCCCUUGACUUUGGGAUAACUUCAGGAAACUGGGGCUAAUACCGGAUAGGAGCUCCUGCUGCAUGGUGGGGGUUGGAAAGUUUCGGCGGUUGGGGAUGGACUCGCGGCUUAUCAGCUUGUUGGGGGGGUAGUGGCUUACCAAGGCUUUGACGGGUAGCCGGCCUGGGAGGGUGACCGGCCCCCUUGGGACUGAGAUACGGCCCAGACUCCUACGGGAGGCAGCAGUGGGGAAUAUUGCACAAUGGGCGGAAGCCUGAUGCAGCAACGCCGCGUGCGGGAUGACGGCCUUCGGGUUGUAAACCGCUUUCGCCUGUGACGAAGCGUGAGUGACGGUAAUGGGUAAAGAAGCACCGGCUAACUACGU